rnacentral:rRNA from 1 species
CCUACGGGGGGCAGCAGUGAGGAAUAUUGGUCAAUGGACGAGAGUCUGAACCAGCCAAGUAGCGUGAAGGAUGACUGCCCUAUGGGUUGUAAACUUCUUUUAUAUGGGAAUAAAACGUUCCACGUGUGGGAUUUUGUAUGUACCAUAUGAAUAAGGAUCGGCUAACUCCGUGCCAGCAGCCGCGGUAAUACGGAGGAUCCGAGCGUUAUCCGGAUUUAUUGGGUUUAAAGGGAGCGUAGGUGGAUUGUUAAGUCAGUUGUGAAAGUUUGCGGCUCAACCGUAAAAUUGCAGUUGAAACUGGCAGUCUUGAGUACAGUAGAGGUGAGCGGAACUAGUGGUGUAGCGGUGAAAUGCUUAGAUAUCACGAAGAACUCCGAUUGCGAAGGCAGUUCACUGGACUGCAACUGACACUGAGGCUCGAAAGUGUGGGUAUCAAACAGGAUUAGAUACCCCUGUAGUC